AUUGAACGCUGGCGGCAUGCCUUACACAUGCAAGUCGAACGGCAGCGCGGGAGCAAUCCUGGCGGCGAGUGGCGAACGGGUGAGUAAUAUAUCGGAACGUGCUCAGUAGUGGGGGAUAGCCCGGCGAAAGCCGGAUUAAUACCGCAUGAGACCUGAGGGUGAAAGCGGGGGAUCGCAAGACCUCGCGCUAUUGGAGCGGCCGAUAUCAGAUUAGCUAGUUGGUGGGGUAAAGGCCUACCAAGGCAACGAUCUGUAGUUGGUCUGAGAGGACGACCAGCCACACUGGGACUGAGACACGGCCCAGACUCCUACGGGAGGCAGCAGUGGGGAAUUUUGGACAAUGGGCGCAAGCCUGAUCCAGCAAUGCCGCGUGCAGGAAGAAGGCC
rnacentral:rRNA from 1 species